GGCAGAGGGUGCAAACGUUGUUCGGAAUUACUGGGCGUAAAGCGCGUGUAGGCUGCUUCGCAAGUCGGAUGUGAAAGCCCUGGGCUCAACCCAGGAAGUGCAUUCGAAACUGCAGAGCUGGAGUCCUGGAGAGGAAGGCGGAAUUCUCGGUGUAGAGGUGAAAUUCGUAGAUAUCGAGAGGAACACCGGUGGCGAAGGCGGCCUUCUGGACAGUGACUGACGCUGAGACGCGAAAGCGUGGGGAGCAAACAGG
rnacentral:rRNA from 1 species